UGGGGAAUAUUCCGCAAUGGGCGAAAGCCUGACGGAGCGACGCCGCGUGGAUGAUGACGGUCUUCGGAUUGUAAAAUCCUGUAGAGGGGGAAGAAGGGUGCCGUAAGGCAUUUGACAGUACUCCUAAAGUAAGCUACGGCAAACUCUGUGCCAGCAGCCGCGGUAAUACAGAGGUAGCAAGCGUUGUUCGGAAUGACUGGGUGUAAAGCGCGUGUAGGUGGUUUUGUAAGUUGAAUGUGAAAUCCCUUGGCUCAACCAAGGAACGGCAUUCAAUACUGCAUAACUUGAGUGCGGAAGAGGAAAGUGGAAUUUCGGGUGUAGCGGUGAAAUGCGUAGAUAUCCGAAGGAACACCGGUGGCGAAGGCGACUUUCUGGUCCGCAACUGACACUGAGACGCGAAAGCUAGGGGAGCAAACAGG
rnacentral:rRNA from 1 species